rnacentral:lncRNA from 1 species
AUAGUUUGAGGUUUAUAUUCUCAGCUAUAGUAUCCCCUUAGUGCUGUUCCAAAAAAAGAAUUUUAUCAGUUUUCUAAGAUUUAUGAGACUUCUGUUCUUAAUGAUUUGAAAAAUUUUUGUAGUAAUAUUUGAUAUAGAAGAAUACUUUUAUUGUUGCAGUGAGAUGGAAGAUUUUCGAGGUAUAGCCGAGGAGUCAUUUCCAAGCUUUUUAACCAAUUCAUUACUUGGUAAUAGUGGGAUUUUGGAAAAUGUCACUCUUUCUUCAAAUCUUGGCCUGCCUGUUGCUGUUUCCACACUUGCUAGAAAUAGAUCCAGCUCUGAAAACAGGUAUUCUGAUGUCCAGACGUCUUACUUAGUGGAAAGGAAGUUUUCAGUUCCAUCGGAGACAUCGCCCAGUAGCCAGAGUGAAGAUGAGCCGAGAGAGAGGUUACGGCUUGUUUUCUCAGAUGAUGAUUCUGUUGCUAAGAAAAAGAACCAGACAGAAAGUCAAUGUUUGUCAGAUGCUGUCCUCAGAGAGUCUGCUUUUCCCAGUGAUGGAGCAGGAGCAGAAGGGGAGCAGGCCAGAGCUGCAGAGCCCUUCCUGAGCCAGAGUCCUUCUGACAGAGCCUCCCCUCUGGGGCAAGAGCAAGGUAUGCCACUGGGAGAAAUUAUUUCUUAAUGUGUGUGUUUUAAUUUCUUUUUUAAAAAUAUCUUUUUAAAUUGAAAUGUAGUUGAUGUACAGUUAUAUGUUACAAGUGUACAAUAUAGUGAUCCAUGAUUUUUAAAGCUUAAACUUCAUUUAUAAUUAUUAUAAAAUUUUGGCUAUAUUCCUCAUGUUGUACAGUAUGUUUUUGUAGCUUAUUUUAGACCUACUAAUUUGUUCCUCUUAAUCCCCUGCUCCUAUAAUGCCCCUCCCCCUUCUCUCUCCUUACUGGUAGCCACUAGUUUAUUCUCUAUUUCUAUGAAUCUACUUCUUUUUUGUUAUAUUCACUGGUUUGUUGUAUUUUUUUUUGAUUCCAC